rnacentral:piRNA from 1 species
UAACCUUCCCGAAAAGAUGCAGCGUG